AUGCCGCCGGCGCGUGUGCGGGAGUUGGGGGAGAUGUACGAGCUCGUGGAGGAGAUCCUGCUCCUCAUCCCGCCUGAGGAGCCCGCGGUCCUCAUCCACGCCUCCCUCGUCUGCAAGGCGUGGUGCCGCCUCCUCUCCAGCCACGCCUUCCGCAGCCGCUACCACACCUUGCACAAAACACCUCCAGUCCUGUGCUUCUUACAAAGGUGGGAGGACAACGUGGAGCGCUUCGUCCCCACCACAAAGUUCCGCCCCCGCAAUCCCGAGCGGCGAGACAGUUAUGUGCUCGACUGCCGCCAUGGCCGCAUUCUUCUUGGGUGUAGGUGGUACGAUGAGGGGGAGGAGGACGAUGAGGAGGAGGAAGCUGACGAGCAGUUGGAAGAGGAAGAAGAUGAUAUCGAGGAGGACGGUGAGGGGGAAGAAGCUGACAAGGAGGAGGAAGAAUAUGAUACGGGUGAGGAGGGGGAGGAGGACGACGAAGAUGAAGAUGAGGGGGAGGAAGAUGACAGGGUCUUGAAGAUGGUCGUCUGGGACCCCGUGUCGGGAGGCCGAACCAAGUUGCGCAGCCCCGACAUCUUUGACCCUGACGUCAAUGGAGCAACCUAUUGGGGCACAGUGCUAUGUGCGGCGGAUGGCUGCAACCAUGCUUCCUGCAACUUGGGGCCAUUUUUCGUGGCUUUAAGGACAUGUACAAUGGUGGCAUAUGGAUACAUAUGCCCCAUGAUAAAAAGUAAUUUAAGCUUUUGUCACCGGACCAUACUUUUUCUCUUCAAGCACCCGCCUCCUGGAGAGGAUCCCGCUUCCCUAUCCGAACCUACUUUAUUACGUCAUAUCCGAUCCUACAUGGCAUACGAGGCAUCACCUUGA
rnacentral:rRNA from 1 species